GACGGAGGGUGCUAGCGUUGUUCGGAAUUACUGGGCGUAAAGGGCGCGUAGGCGGCCUGGCAAGUCGGGUGUGAAAGCCCGGGGCUCAACCCCGGAACGGCACCCGAGACUGCCAGGCUCGAGACCGGAAGAGGUGGGUGGAAUACCCAGUGUAGAGGUGAAAUUCGUAGAUAUUGGGUGGAACACCGGUGGCGAAAGCGGCUCACUGGUCCGGUUCUGACGCUGAGACGCGAAAGCGUGGGGAGCAAACAGGG
rnacentral:rRNA from 1 species